rnacentral:rRNA from 1 species
UGCAGUCGAGCGCCUCGCAAGAGGAGCGGCAGACGGGUGAGUAACGCGUGGGAAUCUACCCAUCUCUACGGAACAACUCCGGGAAACUGGAGCUAAUACCGUAUACGUCCUUCGGGAGAAAGAUUUAUCGGAGAUGGAUGAGCCCGCGUUGGAUUAGCUAGUUGGUGGGGUAAUGGCCUACCAAGGCGACGAUCCAUAGCUGGUCUGAGAGGAUGAUCAGCCACACUGGGACUGAGACACGGCCCAGACUCCUACGGGAGGCAGCAGUGGGGAAUAUUGGACAAUGGGCGAAAGCCUGAUCCAGCCAUGCCGCGUGAGUGAUGAAGGCCCUAGGGUUGUAAAGCUCUUUCAACGGUGAAGAUAAUGACGGUAACCGUAGAAGAAGCCCCGGCUAACUUCGUGCCAGCAGCCGCGGUAAUACGAAGGGGGCUAGCGUUGUUCGGAAUUACUGGGCGUAAAGCGCACGUAGGCGGAUUGUUAAGUUAGGGGUGAAAUCCCAGGGCUCAACCCUGGAACUGCCUUUAAUACUGGCAAUCUCGAGUCCGAGAGAGGUGAGUGGAAUUCCGAGUGUAGAGGUGAAAUUCGUAGAUAUUCGGAGGAACACC